GGCGGCUGCAACGUGGCACGUGUGGGCAGGGGUCCAGGCUCGCUGAGCCGGGGGACUCCUCCAAGGCUGCCCACGGGUCCCCCGCCCACCCCCAAGCCCCACCUAACGUGGAACACGUUGACGCUGUCCUGGAACCAGCUAUAAGUGAGACCAGAUCCCCUUCCCACCAGGGACAACCCAAUUCACCCGGACUCCCCCGCCUAGAACCUGCGUGUGCGUGUGCCCAACACCUCACCAGCGGAUACAGCACGAUCCCCGACCGAGGCUCCCCCAUCUGGCCACUCCAGCGGCCAUUCGCACAGAGACACCCCCUUUGGCCAGAACACAACGCUUCUGUUCAAGAACUCACAACUCCUGGGGCGCCUGGGUGGCUCAGUCGGUUGAGCGACCGACUUUGGCUUAGGUCAUGAUCUCACGGUUUGGGAGAUCGAGCCCCGUAUUGGGCUGUGUGCUGGCAGCUCGGAGCCUGGAGCCCGCUUGGGAUUCUGUGUCUCCCUCUCUCUCUGCUCCUCCCCCACCCAUGCUCUCUCUCUGUCUCCGAAAUAAAUAAGCAUUAAAAAAAUCUUUUUUUUUCAAGAACUCACAACUCCUGGCUCCCACCACAUCAAGCUCGAACUUCUCGAUCCAGCCUCGUGGGCACUCAGGAUCCAACCCCUCCCGGCCCGGCCAACUGUCUUUUCAUUCGCCAACCCUUAAGAACCUUUUCAGCUCAGGGUGGGCGUGUCGUGCCCCGGGCUGGCUGCACCGCCUUUGCUCUCCAAACCCCGUCUGGAACGCUCUUCCCACAGCAUCUGGCCAGGCCGCAUCAUCCCUGCAAAUCCGUCUCUCCCUUCUACCGCCCCACUGCUCUCUCCCCUCCCCGGGCUCCGCUGCCUGGGUCGUCGGG